CCUACGGGGGGCAGCAGUGGGGGAUAUUGCACAAUGGGCGAAAGCCUGACGCAGCGACGCCGCGUGAGGGAUGAAGGUCUUCGGAUCGUAAACCUCUGUCAGCAGGGAAGAACGGUCACUGUGCUAAUCAGCAGUGAAUUGACGGUACCUGCAAAGGAAGCACCGGCUAACUCCGUGCCAGCAGCCGCGGUAAUACGGAGGGUGCGAGCGUUAAUCGGAAUUACUGGGCGUAAAGCGCUCGUAGGCGGUAUGUCAAGUCAAGGGUGAAAUCCCCGCGCCCAACGUGGGAACUGCCUUUGAAACUGGUUUUCGAGAGUUGGAGAGAAGUAUGCGGAAUUCGUGGUGUAGCGGUGAAAUGCAGAGAUAUCACGAAGAACGCCGAUUGCGAAGGCAGCAUACCGGCUCCAUACUGACGCUGAGGCACGAAAGCGUGGGGAUCGAACAGGAUUAGAUACCCCUGUAGUC
rnacentral:rRNA from 1 species